rnacentral:lncRNA from 1 species
CAAAUAUGUAUCAAACAUGGUUCUCAGCUCCGGGGAUGUAGCAGGGAAGAAAACAGAUGAACAUUCCUGCCUUCUUGGAAUUUACAUUCCAUGGAGAGAAGCAGACAAUAAAGAAGCUUUUAUUGAUCAUCUUCUAUAUGCCAGUCACUAAGCAGGUUCUGAAGAUACAGAGGGGACAAGAAAGACAUGAUCUUUACCUACAAGGACUGACAGCCUGGAAAGACCACCAAAAAAUAGACCAUCUCUGGGAUAUGAAGAGUCAACCGGAAGUAGGUGCCCUGGUCCUGACAGCUCCAACCUGGAUGACAUCCCUUUACUGACUCAGUCCAGGCCUCCUGAGUGUCCUAAUUCUUUACAAUCCAGUUACUCUCAUCGCCUCCUUUCAGAUCUCAAAGGAUUUGAAAGAAUUUUGAUUUCAUCCCAUCUAAAAUGAGUUCCCUCUGGCAAGAAUGAAGAAUGCUGUAGUGGACUUUUACCCCAAGCACAGGGAUGCAAAAUAAAUAAAUCCAAUUCCUGUUUUCAAGAGGUCACAGUCUAGAAGAGAAAAUUACGAUUUACUGUGGUCUGGAUAAAGCUCGAGCCACUCCACCCCAGCAGUGAUUUCAGAGGAGACGGGAAAUGUGAAGAGUCUGCUUAACUCCUCAAACUCAAUGGGCUUAUACAUUUUCAGGAAGGUUGGCUGGGAAGCAGUUUGAAAGAAUAUGAAAUCCAAGGGUCCCUUCCAUCACCCCAGUGUGAUGAAGAAAAAGUGCCCUGGCAUCUGAUGGACAUAGGUCCAACUUUUUUUUUUUUUCUGCUUUAUCUCCUCAAAUCCCCCGGUACACAGUUGUAUAUCUUAGUUGCAGG